GAAAGGCAGAAGCGGGAGCACCAGAGACGAAGCCCGGAGCUGGAAACGGCGGCGGCUACGGCGGCGAAAUGGGGAAGUGAGAGCCGAAUCAAAUGAGGAAUGGGGAUUAGCUGUAAAUAAAGAAGGGAUUAAUGGUGGCAGAUUUGGGAUUAUGGUUAUCAUAAUUGCAACACCAAUAAUCUGUGUUGGAUUUCUUUGCUUGUUAUGGUGGGAACAUAAUCGUUGCGAAUUUU
rnacentral:lncRNA from 1 species